rnacentral:sRNA from 1 species
UGAAUAGAUGGCGCUGCCUGUGAGUUGC